ACCGCGGUUAUACGAGAGACCCUAGUUGAUACACACGGCGUAAAGAGUGGUUAGGGACAGACCAAAAAAUAAAGCCAAAGACCUCCCAAGCCGUCACACGCACCCCGGAGAUACGAGACCCAAGCACGAAAGUAGCUUUAUCACCCCCCCCCGACGCCACGAAAGCUAAGAAACAA
rnacentral:rRNA from 1 species